UAACACGUAUGCAAUCCACCUGUAACAGGGGGAUAACCCGGAGAAAUCCGGACUAAUACCCCAUAAUAUGGGCGCUCCGCAUGGGGGGUCCAUUAAAGAGAGCAAUUUUGGUUACAGACGAGCAUGCGCUCCAUUAGCCAGUUGGCGGGGUAACGGCCCACCAAAGCGACGAUGGAUAGGGGUUCUGAGAGGAAGGUCCCCCACAUUGGAACUGAGACACGGUCCAAACUCCUACGGGAGGCAGCAGUGAGGAAUAUUGGUCAAUGGUCGGCAGACUGAACCAGCCAAGUCGCGUGAGGGAAGACGGCCCUACGGGUUGUAAACCUCUUUUGUCGGAGAGUAAAGUACGCUACGUGUAGUGUAUUGCAAGUAUCCGAAGAAAAAGCAUCGGCUAACUCCGUGCCAGCAGCCGCGGUAAUACGGAGGAUGCAAGCGUUAUCCGGAUUUAUUGGGUUUAAAGGGUGCGUAGGCGGCACGCCAAGUCAGCGGUGAAAUUUCCGGGCUCAACCCGGAGUGUGCCGUUGAAACUGGCGAGCUAGAGUACACAAGAGGCAGGCGGAAUGCGUGGUGUAGCGGUGAAAUGCAUAGAUAUCACGCAGAACCCCGAUUGCGAAGGCAGCCUGCUAGGGUGAAACAGACGCUGAGGCACGAAAGCGUGGGUAUCGAACAGGAUUAGAUACCCUGGUAGUCCACGCAGUAAACGAUGAAUACUAACUGU
rnacentral:rRNA from 1 species